UACAGAGGGUGCAAGCGUUGUUCGGAAUUACUGGGCGUAAAGCGCGUGUAGGUGGCGAUGUAAGUCGGGUGUGAAAUCCCUCGGCUCAACCGAGGAAGUGCACUCGAUACUGUGUCGCUUGAGUGUUGGAGGGGAUGGCGGAAUUCCCGGUGUAGAGGUGAAAUUCGUAGAUAUCAGGAGGAACACCUGUGGCGAAGGCGGCCAUCUGGACGGUAACUGACGCUGAGACGCGAAAGCGUGGGUAGCAAACAGG
rnacentral:rRNA from 1 species